GACAUCCCUAUUAUGUCAAAAUUUAAACGAGAGAUACAUCACCGUAUGCACAAAAAAUACGUAUGAAGAUGCAUCUCCAUAAACAUCAAUUAUUCAAAAGUUAGUGGAUUUGCUCGCAUCAGACCUUCCCUUUUCCUCCUUCUUCAUUUUCUAAAAACUUUAAAAAAAAAAUAUUCGAGCUCUCACACAUUCAAACAUUUCAUCAAUUCAUUCAAGCUUCUAUUGUGGGGGCUCUUUC
rnacentral:lncRNA from 1 species